rnacentral:rRNA from 1 species
UACGCUGGCGGCACGCCUAACACAUGCAAGUCGAACGCAGUAGCAAUACUGAGUGGCAGACGGGUGAGUAUAAUGUGGGUAUCUGCCUUUUGGUUUGGAAUAACAAACGAAUUC